GUCCCAUCCCGAACCCGGAAGUCAAGCCCUCCUGCGUCGAUUCCUGUACUGUGGUGCGAGAGCCCACGGGAACGUUCGUCGCUGUGCCAC
rnacentral:rRNA from 1 species